rnacentral:rRNA from 1 species
GACGAACGCUGGCGGCGUGCUUAACACAUGCAAGUCGAACGAAGUGGCGAACGGGUGAGUAACGCGUAAUAAACCUGCCCUUCAGAGGGUGACAACAGUUGGAAACGACUGCUAAUACAGCAUACUGAAGGAGGGGAUGGGGUCUGAUUAGCUAUUUGUGGGGGUAACGGCCCACCAAGGCGAUGAUCAGUAGCCUGUCUGUGCGGAUGACCGGCCACAUUGGGACUGAGACACGGCCCAGACUCCUACGGGAGGCAGCAGUGGGGAAUCUUCCGCAAUGUACGACAGUCUGACUGAGCAACGCCGCGUGAUUGAUGACGGCCUUCGGGUUGUAAAGCUCUGUUAAUCGGGACGCGGUACCGGAAUAGAAAGCCACGGCUAACUACGUGCCAGCAGCCGCGGUAAUUC